AGUUUUAAUAUCAAAAAUACAUUUUUCACAAUAUUAUAUUAGGAAAAAUAUUUUUAAAUAAAUUAUUAAAAACAUAAAAAUUUAAUAUUUAAAGCCAGUAGCUUUCAGCAACUAAUAUUGGUUGCGCGUGUGGGAGUUGUGACGCCCAUUAGUCGCCAAUAUUGGCAAUAAAAUAACUGGAAAAAUAUAAUAAAAUCACUCUCCCACGCUCACUCUCACUGCUCACUGGUAGCUUCCUCUAUCGCUUCAGCUUCAAAAAUUAAAUUGCGGUUCCAAUCUUUGAGCUUCAUGUGCUUCUCAGGUAGUUUCUUUCUCAUUCUCUCUAAAGAAUCUCCAUGAUUUUUUCUCUGUGUUUUUCGCUGCUCCAAUCUCUGUUUUUCUUUUAAUUUUUUUAAAUUUUCUGUUUGGAUGCUCUCAGAGUAAAUCAUUCAACUUGGAAUGCGAAUUCUUGAAAGUUCUUUACUGUUUUUCCUCAUUUCUCUGUAGGCAUUGCGUCAUCCGCUGGAACUUGAAGUGCGUGUAAUCUUUAUUAAAUAAGUUUUUUUUUUUGGAGUUAAUCUGUUUGGUUGCUGAGAAAAUGGAGGAUAAUUUGCUAUUUUCAUAGUUGUAUAGCUGUCUCAGGCCUUUUUAUUUUUGUAGUGUUUAGUAUCCAACUUUUGCUGAUAUAAGGUGGAUCUGACAGCCCAACAAAUCCAAUUCGAGAUAAAGUGAUAGCUUUAGGUUUUGGACCUUUUUGUUUUUCUUUUAUUUUUUAAGUUAUUUCACAAGAAAGGUCUUUAUUUUCUGAGAGGACUGUUCCUUUUUUUUUUUUGGUGUUCUUUUACUUUUUGGGUUAUAAUUUCUUUGUCUCCAUGAAAGAAAGUGAAGUUCGAUAUCGAUCUGAAAUGUUAGGCAGCAAUGUCUGUGUUGCAUCCAAGAUUUUAUGUUGCACUAGUUGUUUUGCUUCACAUAUAUACUAGUUGUUUUGCUUCUUGUAGUUUGUUUUCUUCUGUUUGCGCCUUUAAUCUUUAAAAGAAAAUUAUAUUAUUGGUCCAACAACAAAUUUUAAUUGUGGUUGA
rnacentral:misc_RNA from 1 species